GCCUUCGGUAGGCUGGUUUUGUUCGGGUUUUGCUGUGAAAAUCCCCGAGGGCUUCAACCCUCCGCGGCCUGGCAGUUGGGUUACGGGCCAGACUUAGAGUUGCGGUUAGGGGGAGAUUGGAAUUCCUGGUUGUAGCGGUGGAAUGCGCAGAUAUCAGGAGGAACACCGAUGGCGAAGGCAGAUCUCUGGGCCGUAACUGACGCUGAGGAGCGAAAGGGUGGGGAGCAAACAGGCUUAGAUACCCUGGUAGUCCACCCCGUAAACGUUGGGAACUAGUUGUGGGGUCCAUUCCACGGAUUCCGUGACGCAGCUAACGCAUUAAGUUCCCCGCCUGGGGAGUACGGCCGCAAGGCUAAAACUCAAAGGAAUUGACGGGGACCCGCACAAGCGGCGGAGCAUGCGGAUUAAUUCGAUGCAACGCGAAGAACCUUACCAAGGCUUGACAUAUACGAGAACGGGCCAGAAAUGGUCAACUCUUUGGACACUCGUAAACAGGUGGUGCAUGGUUGUCGUCAGCUCGUGUCGUGAGAUGUUGGGUUAAGUCCCGCAACGAGCGCAACCCUCGUUCUAUGUUGCCAGCACGUAAUGGUGGGAACUCAUGGGAUACUGCCGGGGUCAACUCGGAGGAAGGUGGGGAUGACGUCAAAUCAUCAUGCCCCUUAUGUCUUGGGCUUCACGCAUGCUACAAUGGCCGGUACAAAGGGCUGCAAUACCGUGAGGUGGAGCGAAUCCCAAAAAGCCGGUCCCAGUUCGGAUUGAGGUCUGCAACUCGACCUCAUGAAGUCGGAGUCGCUAGUAAUCGCAGAUCAGCAACGCUGCGGUGAAUACGUUCCCGGGUCUUGUACACACCGCCCGUCAAGUCAUGAAAGUCGGUAACACC
rnacentral:rRNA from 1 species